GUUGAACGCUGGCGGCGGGCCUAACACAUGCAAGUCGAACGAGUAGAGGACGGGUGAGUAAUGUCGGAGAAACUGCCUGAUGGAGGGGGCUGAGUACUGGAAACGGUAGCUAAUACCGCAUACCAUGAGAUGUGCCCAGAUGGGAUUAGCUAGUUGGGGGGGUAACGGCUCACCAAGGCGACGAGCCCUAGCUGGCCUGCGAGGGUGACCAGCCACACUGGAACGGAUACACGGUCCAGACUCCUACGGGAGGCAGCAGUGGGGAAUCUUGCACAAUGGGCGCAAGCCUGAUGCAGCAACGCCGCGUGUAUGAAGAAGGUCUUCGGGUCGUAAAGUACUUUCAUCGGGGAGGCGUUAUCCGAAGAAGAAGCAACGGCUAACUCCGUGCCAGCAGCCGCGGUAAUUC
rnacentral:rRNA from 1 species